UGAUCUUGUAUAUCUUUCUUCUUCUUUGUU
rnacentral:piRNA from 1 species